rnacentral:lncRNA from 1 species
GAGAGGGAGCGCGCCUUGGCUCGCUGGCCUUGGCGGCGGCUCCUCAGGAGAGCUGGGGCGCCCACGAGAGGAUCCCUCACCCGGGUCUCUCCUCAGGGAUGACAUCAUCCGUCCACCUCCUUGUCUUCAAGGACCACCUCCUCUCCAUGCUGAGCUGCUGCCAAGGGGCCUGCUGCCCAUCUACACCUCACGAGGGCACUAGGAGCACGGUUUCCUGGAUCCCACCAACAUACAAAGCAGCCACUCACUGACCCCCAGGACCAGGAUGGCAAAGGAUGAAGAGGACCGGAACUGACCAGCCAGCUGUCCCUCUUACCUAAAGACUUAAACCAAUGCCCUAGUGAGGGGGCAUUGGGCAUUAAGCCCUGACCUUUGCUAUGCUCAUACUUUGACUCUAUGAGUACUUUCCUAUAAGUCUUUGCUUGUGUUCACCUGCUAGCAAACUGGAGUGUUUCCCUCCCCAAGGGGGUGUCAGUCUUUGUCGACUGACUCUGUCAUCACCCUUAUGAUGUCCUGAAUGGAAGGAUCCCUUUGGGAAAUUCUCAGGAGGGGGACCUGGGCCAAGGGCUUGGCCAGCAUCCUGCUGGCAACUCCAAGGCCCUGGGUGGGCUUCUGGAAUGAGCAUGCUACUGAAUCACCAAAGGCACGCCCGACCUCUCUGAAGAUCUUCCUAUCCUUUUCUGGGGGAAUGGGGUCGAUGAGAGCAACCUCCUAGGGUUGUUGUGAGAAUUAAAUGAGAUAAAAGAGGCCUCAGGCAGGAUCUGGCAUAGAGGAGGUGAUCAGCAAAUGUUUGUUGAAAAGGUUUGACAGGUCAGUCCCUUCCCACCCCUCUUGCUUGUCUUACUUGUCUUAUUUAUUCUCCAACAGCACUCCAGGCAGCCCUUGUCCACGGGCUCUCCUUGCAUCAGCCAAGCUUCUUGAAAGGCCUGUCUACACUUGCUGUCUUCCUUCCUCACCUCCAAUUUCCUCUUCAACCCACUGCUUCCUGACUCGCUCUACUCCGUGGAAGCACGCUCACAAAGGGUGUCCCAGCACCAGCCUGGCACAGAGUGGGGCUCAGUUAGAGUAUGUGGGAUGUUGGUUUCGCCAGGCACGUGGGCCGUGGCCCGGCUGGGUCGGCUGAAGAACUGCGGAUGGAAGCUGCGGAAGAGGCCCUGAUGGGGCCCACCAUCCCGGACCCA